UAUGUACCUCUACUCAAGGGAUACUAGAUUUAGAAGAAAAAAAUAUAUGGGUAUAUACAUACAAAAUGUCGGUACGGUGAAUUUGUUGCCUUAAACACUGCACUUCAUUACAGAAUAUAUCCCGGACCUGUUUUCCAGGGGGAAAGUCUAUGCGAGAGAAAGUCUAUGCGGGGGGAGUCUAUGCUGCAACACCGGCGGUUCUAACUGGUUAUCAGAUUAUCUAAAUGCGUAACGUAUAUAACCUUCAUAAAGUUUCAUCCUCUGGUUACCCAAGUCUUGAUCUUCGCGAGAAGUGAGCUGCCAUUCUAACGUUCAUAUUUUUUUUUUUUUUUUUUUUUUUUUUACAAAUUCUUAAAUUUAAACUUCCAAUCCAUGUUAGAUAUUGUUGCAACCGACCAGAGCAAAUCAGUGACACAAAUCUUUAAAUCUAACAACCACUCAAUACAAAUUGUCUGUUGGAGUUUAUGAUAGUGUUUAACAUGAACAAUACCAAGUCGAUGAUUUUAAGCGAGAGAUACAAGAGAACUCUUUAGAUACCUUAUGGUUAUACUGAAGUCAUCAGCUUCACGCAUUGAUAUACAUACGGGCUUUUUAUUCAUAGUACGAACGUUAGAUUUAAAGUUUAAACCACUGCAUGCAAGUCCCUGUCUGUUUGCUGGUUCAAAAUACACCCACGGUCGCUCUGUUGGGUCUUUUAUCACACAUUGACAAUCCAGGUGGGGUACGAUAUAUCCACUGUUCUGUUUAGUCUUCACACAUUGAAAAUCCAGGUGAAGUACGAUAUAUCCACUGUUCUGUUUAGUCUUCACACAUUGCAAAUUCGGGUGAGGAUAUGAUAAAUCCACUGUUCUGUUUAGUCUUCACACAUUGAAAAUCCAGGUGAGGGUACGAUAUAUCCACUGUUCUGUUUAGUUUUCGCGUUCUGUAGAGCUAUUUCCUCUGAUCUGAUGUUUCCUUUUGUUUACAGUUUUCACAGAUUGAAAUUUGGCGGAGAUUAUAUAAUUGUUUCCGCACCACCGAAACUAUACAUGACAGAUUGACGUCAGGUUUUCUGGCUUUUAGUUUUCCGGAAAUUAGCAUUUUCAUUCAGUGCCAUCACAAAAAAACUUCUAUCCCCUAUUUUCAGAUGCGGAUUUAAGGAGCCUCUCCCAUACAUUUUCAAAUCUAAUGUAGACCAUAGUCUCUUAGAUAGAAAUAAAAAAUAAACAAUAAAAAAAAUCCACUUAUAGAAAUACAUGAGAAGAUUUUUUGAUAUAUUGUUAUUUUUAUUGGGAGAAAUUAUAUUCAAUUAAAAAAAAAAAAAAAAAAAAAAAAAA